GUCAGGUUUGAACAGAUCAGGGGAAAGUGGGUCUUGAAAGUGCCCUCGCAGAGCUGGAGAGCCGGGGCCAGGAUGUCACCGAGAGCCACCACGUGUCAUCCUUUCAAGGGGCUUUCCCAUACCUGAGGCCUGAUGCUUGCUCGAGGAAGCUGAGUCCCCAGAGGCAUUUGCAGCCUGUGUACACCUGGAAAUUAAAGCCAUUUGUAAGAGAGGAUCAUGGAAUGAAUACGGGCAUUGAGUCAAGCAGUCUGUGUUCCACUGGCGGUGUGACCUGGGGCAGGCCAUUUCACCUCACUGAGCCUUAGUUUCCUCACCUGUAAAAUGUGAAAAAUAUCACCUUCCUUACCAGGCUUUUCUGAGGAUUUAAUGACAUCAUGUUCAGUGCCCAGUAUGGGUGGAUAAUACCCAGGAGUUUCCUCCUCUUCUCCUCCUAAGUUGACUUGAUGCCCCCCGCUGAAGAUCAUGGCUGAACUGGCUCAAUUCGGAUCCAGGACUCCUGGCUUUGUCUCUUCCCUAGUUGCCCACCACACCCAUGGACACCCUUAGGUAGUUUAUCCUUUUGGGACAACUGGAUUUAUUAGAAAAGGGUAUUCUGGGGUGGAAUAAGGCCCUUUUCAGUCCCCAUGGAGCCUUUUUGGAAGAUGAAGUUCUCAAACCCACAAGAGAAUUCAUAAGACGAGCACACCACCCACAGUUAGGUUUCCCUCUCAAGUGCUUUAUCUCCACGUGGGGCAAAUAGCUCUUUGUCUGCAUAUGUUAUUGGAGCUUUUGGAGUCCAGCCUUCAGAAGAGCUCUAAUUUUUGGAUUCAUAUCAGUUUAUUAGAGAAGCCUAGUUCUAAGGAUUAGCAAAUGGGUAGGUGCUCAGCCAGCCCAGAACAAGCAGAGCCAUGACAGAAGUUUCUGGAAUCUCACAGAGUCGGUGUCUUCAUGGACUCAGGGGGCCUAAAUCCAAUAGCCUGGAUUUGUCACUUUCCCUUAUUCCCUUAUCAAACUCUUCCCUUUUGGACAUCAGAGAAGGAAAGUACUUCCUGUAAGGGGGCAAUUUGCAAAGCUUCAUGGAAGUGGCAUUUGAGUGUGGCCUUAAAGGAUGUGUAGGAUUGGGAACCAUAGAUAUUUAGAGGAAGGCAUUCCUGGCAGAAGGAACAGCAGCAAAACACAGAAGUGGAAAUUAGUAGCAGCAUUAAUGGAGAAUAAUUUGGGGAAUAAGAUAUACAAAUGGAAUAAUAAAAAUAGCAUUAAUUAAACAUUGUGGGAGUCAUUCUGUAAGAUGGCCCCUGGUG
rnacentral:lncRNA from 1 species